UUCGCAAUGCCCGAAAGGGUGACGAAGCGACGCCGCGUGCGGGAAGAAGGCCUUCGGGUUGUAAACCGCUGUCGGGAGUUAAGAAAUGUAAGGAUGUUAAUAGCGUCUUUGCUUGACUAAGGCUCCGGAGGAAGCCACGGCUAACUCUGUGCCAGCAGCCGCGGUAAUACAGAGGCGGCAAGCGUUGUUCGGAAUUAUUGGGCGUAAAGAGCACGUAGGCGGCUAUGUAAGUCGGUUGUGAAAGCCUUCCGCUCAACGGGAGAACAGCAUCCGAUACUGCAUGACUUGAGUGCGGGAGGGGAGAGUGGAACUUCUGGUGGAGCGGUGAAAUGCGUAGAUAUCAGAAGGAACGCCGGCGGCGAAAGCGGCUCUCUGGCCCAUAACUGACGCUGAGUGUGCGAAAGCUAGGGGAGCAAACGGGAUUAGAUACCCCGGUAGUCCUAGCCGUAAACGAUGGGCACUAAGUAGAGGGGUUUU
rnacentral:rRNA from 1 species